UGUUAACGGACUAUAUACUGAAAGGUGAGUUGUUAACUGACUAUAUGCUGAGAGGCGAGCUGUUGACCGACUGUAUGCUGAGAGGCGAGCUGUUGACCGACUGUAUGCUGAGAGGCGAGCUGUUGACCGACUGUAUGCUGAGAGGCGAGCUGUUGACCGACUGUAUGCUGAGAGGUGAGCUGUUGACCGACUGUAUGCUGAGAGGUGAGCUGUUGACCGACUAUAUGCUGAGAGGUGAGCUGUUGACCGACUAUAUGCUGAGAGGUGAGCUGUUGACUAACUGUAUGCUGAGAGGUGAGCUGUUAACUGACUGUAUGCUGAGAGGUGAACU
rnacentral:lncRNA from 1 species